rnacentral:lncRNA from 1 species
CCUAGAACUGUAUCCCUUCAAAUGUUUGACCAAAUUGCCAGUUAGCAGGCACAAUGUUGUUGCUGGUCAGAAUUCUGCCAUCACUUGUAGUCACCUGAAAAGAGAGGCUUUGACCAUUCAGGUAAGAGUUGCUUUGCCAAUUCUGCCCCCAGUUUCUAGACAUGGUUUGCCAAUUAGUCCUAGACCCCUUGAUGGACACAGAGUGAACAUCACCAGCUCCACCAACAUUUGUGACCAGAACCAAGUUGAAGUAUGAGUGACCAUUGAUGGUGAACCUGAUCCCUCCUUUCUUCACACACGAGACUCUGUUUUAAGCCAAAAACAAAAACAUGUUAAUGUAUGCUCCAAGUUGGAUCCAACUCUUCCAAACUCAGCAAUUUUUACUUUGAAGAGCAAGUGUGCAAUACCAGUCGUUGAUCACGAAAGAUCAACUGCUGAUGUUACAUGUGCAUAUAUUUGCUAUGUGUUUAUAUAAAUGGUUGAUUGUUUUGGAUAAAGACUGGAAUGACUUAUUUCACCUUUGUUAUUCAGAGGAGCUAACUCCCUCUGAGUCAAAGUUUAAAGCUAAAAGGGGAGAAAAAAAAUAAAAAUACUUAAAGGGGUUUCUUAUUUUUUAUUUACCUUCUGAAGGAAACAGGAACAAUUCCAGCUUUGUAUUGAGCAAUUUGUAAGAAAGCAGGCUCAGCAAGAUCAAAGUGUUGCAAAGGAGGGUUGCACCAGCCACCAUUGUCAUUAGACAAGGCAAAGUUAGGGGGGCAGAAGUUUGUGGCAGUGACGAUUAUGCUACCGGGGAGGCACCAUCUGGGGUCACUGUCACAUCUCAUCUCAUAGCAAGACCCGCAACUCAAGCCAUUGUUGAAUAGAGCAGUGCUGAGUGCUGCAGUGUUAGUACCAUACCCUUGGCUGUACAAAUUGCCAUAGCCACAAGCCCCUCCUGUGAAAAUAAAAAUAAAAAUAAAAAUCAUGAGUCAUAUCCUAAGUGAAAACAUCUUUGACUCAAUAAUAGGAGAGAGUGUGAAUGUAAUGUACAUGUAAGUGCCCGUGACACAAGGUUAUGUACGGGCACCACAAUACCACAAAGUUUAAGUAGUUCUUUUUUCCAUUUUAAUCACUCAUAUGUGCCAAAAGGAAAAGGCAAAACAUUUGUUCGAACUUAGUUUAGUUUUCGUGCAGUUAUAUAAACACUAGAAUAAGCAAAAUUUAGUAAUGCGAGACUAAAACCUAAAUAAACACUUUGAACCUACCCAUUGUGCCUGAUGCAUCUCCCCCACCAUAGAAUGUGGCAUGACCACCUUGCCAUCCACCUCCAUAGUCACCAAAAGUGCCUUGGAGGCAUAGAUUAAGAACAAAGAAGAGAAGAAUGGUAGAGGUUGCUGCAAUGGCCAUUGUGUGGUACAAGUGAUUAGGGAAGUUGAGGGUACAAAGGAUUUAAGAUAGGAGAAGUUUACUUGUUGGUGCUUAAUGGUUAGCUAAGGUUGGUUUGGGUUUAUAUAGGAAAAGUUAAGCAUAGGUUGGAGGCAGGAAAAAGUGAGAAAUGGGGUCCAUGCCCGAAUCAGACAACAUAGCGUUUGUGAGGUCUAAAGAGAGAGCCAAAGCCACAAAAACUGAUUCACAUUUUUUGGAACGUCGAGCAAGAAUCAAAGCGCACAUGCAAAUGUUUCGGUUACACUACCAACUUCUUAAUCUACGGACCCACAUGGCACAUGCAUUUCUCAACUGUUCUCUUGUAAUUUUAUGUUUAUAUAUUUUAUGUGGUCGUUACGUAUGAAAGUGUGGUAUUCUCUUCUUAAAUUUUCCCUUAAGUCACGGCCUAUAGCAGAAAAGGGCCACCAUUUUUGGGUCAUCUACCCUUUCAGAUACGUCCAACAUGGUGUGCUGCUGUUGAGGGCAGCACCAAACAGAGUAGAAUUAAUGACUUUUGUUAGGGUACUCUACAGUGCCACUGCUAUGACCCCUUUUCACUUCUCAUCUUAUAUAGGACUACUUAGCAUUCAACGGACCAUUCUAACUUUAUUUAAUAAUGGGGUUCAUCUAAUAAGUGCGAUUAGUUACCCUAAGGUAUUAAAUCAAGCUUCAUAUCUUUUUAGGUCCUAAUAUUCAGUGUUUGAGGUAAUAUAGUUGUAUAAAAAAGGAUACAUGCAGUGAAAAAGACCAAAAAUUACUAUACAAGGAGAAUCAUGGUUCUAUAUUUUCUGUGUCAAGUUUUUUUUAAACAGAAAAAUAAAAUAAAACCUGCUGAUAGGGUUCUAAAUGAGUAGUGGUGACUAUAACUUGUCUACAAAACACAAUUUCGUUUUGUGAAUGCUGCUACAAUCCCCCCUAUUCCUCUGUAGACUUGCCCUUUCUAAGUUAAGCUUGCCUAUGAAAAGGACAAACAAGUUUUUACAAAAGUUGUAUGCAGAAGGAUAUAAUAUUGGAGAGAAUCAGAGCAAAAUAACCGACAUGAAACUGUAGCAUUCCACCAAAAGCAAGAGCUCAAGUAUUUUGAUUACACGUGUGGCAUGCUCAAGUUAAGAAGAUUUGAAAAAUGGAUUGUGCUUGAAUUUUGCAAUGAUAACCGAGACUCAAAAGAAGAGGACUACACAUUUUCUGUCCUUUUCUUUCUGUUGCCUAACUUUUUAAUUACAAUCCUGUCAUUUAUUAGUCACUUCAGAUGACUAAUACUUGUAAAGAAUCCUAUAUUUUAUCCGUCGGCCACAAUGACAAAUCAUGCCCUAAUUAAGCAAAACUGUACUAUAAUUUAACAAGAAUCAAAAUAAAUUACCCUAAUCCCACUUAUAUGGUGAAUCAAAGUUUAGUUACCCACUCUUUCUACUACACUAUUCACUCAUAAAUUAUAUUUUCACUUUCAUAUCACUGAGUCUACAUCUAGUCUUUAAUAUAUAAUGUGAUAUCGAAUACAUCACCGACUAAACUAGCCUUUCAUGAUACACUUCUUAAAUGAUAUCCAAGUCACCAAUUAAGUUAAUGUCUUUAAGGUUAUAAUAUGCAAAACUACAUUUUUAAACUGUGUUUUUACUAUAUUUAUGUAAUUCAUUUAUUCCUUCAUCUGUUCCAAACAAAAAUCCAUCGUGGGUUUUGUAAAAUGAUGAAACAUCUUAAGUAUGGAAGGACAUUUCCUCACUUUAGUUCAGUUAGUUCCAUCUGUAGUUUUAUUUUAACAAUUUAAUAAAAUCUGAGAAAUAUAUGUCUAAGUGGUAAGUAUAUACAUUUUGUCGUGUACCAUUUUUCUGCAACGAAUUCACCCACAUCAAGUGUUGCAAAAGUUUACCAUUUUCCUAAUCUUGUUAAAGGGAUACUUUUUCUUAUUAUAAAGAUUUUAGUUUCCUUGAAUUACUAAGAUCACAUUCCAUACUAGGAGGCAAAUAGCAUAGUCACACAGUCUUUUUCUAAUAAUUUCUCACUGAUAAAUAAUUUUUACUUAAAGCAUGAUUGGGAUAUAAACCAUGUCACCAUGCUCAGAUGAAAAAGCAAGUUUGGUUAGAAGAGAUUCAAUCUUUAAGGUUAGAAGGGUACAUCAAGAAUAACAACAACUUAGUGUUUGGUGUUAAUUAAAUUGAUAUAACCAUUACAGGGACACAGUUUAAUUGUUGAAUGGAACAACUAACCUAGUAUACUAUUUGGAAUAUGCCAAAUGGAAGUGUGGUUGCGUUUAACCAAAGACCUUGUUUCGGCUUAAACAAAUAACAUACAGUAAACUAUGACAAAGCAUUUAAUGAAAGGACUUUAAGUUUAAACAAAGAUAACGAAGAAGGUUAAUUUUUUGUUUAACGUUAUAUAUGAAACUAAGCUUUCGAUGGUUCCAACCACCAUUUUACGGUGCUACUUUUCUGUACGUUCAUUUUGACGGUGUUGUGGAAAAAAGCAGUGGGAAGAUCUCAUAUUGGCCCUACCACGUUACCACCACAUGCCCGUCCCGUUCUUUACGGCCCAAUUCAUUCAACUGUCAUUUUCAGGGAAAAAAAAGAAAUAGAAUUGGGUGGUUUUGUUCUGUUGAUAUCCACGAAAGAAAACUGAAAAGCAAUUGCAAGAAAUUUGGAUAAUGACUUAUAUGAAUAAAGAAAUUAAUUAACCAUCUAGUGGCUUGCUAUAUCAGUUACAGAUUGGCAUGCAUUAUUAUUAUGAUAAGAGACGUGGAUUAUAUAUAUUUUUGUUAUUUAGUUUGCUUACAACUGGAAGCAAUUUUGAUUAUUACAUGGGGUUGAAAUUUUUUAUGAAAAAGUGCACCUUAAAAACAUGUUUUUAUUGUGUACAUCAGAAAAAUAAACGCCAAGAACAUAUGUUUAAUCAGACUGAGAUAUGGUGCUUCGGUUUUAAUUUACUUCACUAUAGAUUAAUUGGUUUGAGGCUUUUCUGAUGCAUAUUGCCUAAUCUAAACAUUGCAUAUUUAUAAUACAAAUAAUAAGUUAAGAGUAUUUGAAAAAGUAAAAUGGAGGUGUAAGAACAAAAGGACGAGGUAGAUCAGCAACUGUAAGACAUCAAAUCUUUUGGUUCCAUUGUGACAAUCUUUUAUAAGGACACGAUAUUAAACGUCCCUUUUAAAUCACUGUAGGUACAUCUUUUCAUGAAGCCAGCUAAUUUGUCUUGCUAAAGAUGAAAUAAUAUAUGAUUUGAUGAAUUAAUCAACCCCCCGUGAUCUGAUUUUGAUAUUUCUGCCAUAUUCGUGAAGGUUUUUUGUUACCUUUUCGCCUUUCUCAUCAUUGUCUUUUCAGGGUAGUUUCCGUAGAUAUAAAUGUAAAAGCAAUUAACCAAAAACUAAAAGCAAGAAAGAGCCAAUGUGAUUUGAGUGCACCGAUUUUGGGUGCUAAUGAGAUUAAUGGCCUUGCCACAAAACCAAAAAGUAGAAGGUAACAUCAAAAGGGCAUGCAAAAAAAAAAGUAGUGCCAGUUUUUGAUAGAGGACUGCAAAAACUUGUGUCCUAAAAGCAAAAGACCAAAAGGGAAAACAAUAAAGUUCCUUGCUCGAGAAUUUAUGACCAUACAACAUUCCACCAUGUCUUAAAACCGAGUCUAUCUAAAAACCAGAAGAAGGAUGAUAAUAAUGACAACAAUAUGAAAUUGCUGUUAAUGCUUGAAAGAUGAAGCAAAGAAAAUUCAAAGAAUCUGUUGUUAACGACGCUAGAAAUGAGAUCCAUACAAGUUUGUCUAGGCCAUGUGAAAGUGCCCUCCACAAGGCCUGUCCCCUAGUUCCACUUGGACAACAUGCAAAACACCGAAAAUGGAUUGAAGUUGAACUGCUAACAAAGGUUUUGAAGGGUCCCUUUCCAGUGGUAGUUAACUAAUAACUGCAAUGGUCAUAUGAGGAAGAUAUGCAGAGUCUUUCAAAUUGUUAGUUUCUUGUGUUGUUCAAAUUGCAUAUAUGUUCAAAACAUGUUCUAAACCCCACCAUGUGCAUUUAAUUUUUGGUUCUGGGCGCUGAAGCACAGUAGGCCAUCCAUAACCAUAAGAGGUGAAACUAUUUGGUUACAAGUUUACAUGUUAGGUACCUCCAUUAAAAUUAUGUCUGAUAGGGUUUCUUAGAUGAUAGAAUCUGAUGUAGGGUUAACUGCUUUGGAUCAUAUUAGUUGUACGUAGCUCAAGAGCUGGAUCGGUUAGGUAUAGUGGUUGUUCUGAAGCUCAAGUUAGGUAAAAAAGAAUAGAUGCAUUCAUUUUGGUGAUUGGAUAGGAUACUAUGCUAGUGAACUUCUACGAAAUUCUUAUUGCCAAUCAAGGAUAGUCGUUAACUCAGUGAAAAUGACACCAAAUUUACUAUCAGACAAACUUUUUUUCUGUUGUUCAAGUAUGAGAGCAAACACUGCAGCUAGCAGCUCCACAAUAUUUUCAAGAGAAAAAAUUAAUAGCAUCUAACUUAUGUAUAUCACAUAGAAAAAUUCAUGAAGAUCAUGAGUCUGUAACCAUUAAAUAAUGUCUCGUAUUUAACAUUGAUUUCAGUGUUAUUUAAAGUUACUAAAAUGGAGAGAAAUGGUCACAGAUCAACCUAGGAAUUUACUCUACUACCAAAUCACAAUGGAGCACUACAAUGGUUCUUUUGAUUUCCGCAUUAUUAAAAUAAUGUUUGGUCAUCAGAAGUUCAGUCACACAAACACAUUAGUUAUCAGUUUUGAGAUACUGGACCAUGUGAUAAAAAAUGGAAUACCAAAAUUUUACUAUAUUUCUAUGGAUUCAACUUAUAUAUUCAUACGACCAUGUCAUUUUAUGUCCUAAAAUAACACAAAAUAAAUAAAACAAUAGUAGAAUUGUUCAAGAUGUAAUAAUAGAUAAUAUCAAAAACAGAAAAAAAAACUUUGAAAGAGGUAACAUGCGUUGAGAGAGGCAACGUGUUUACACGUUUUCAUGUCAGUUUAAAGUGCAAAGAUAAACAAUAAAAACGUGAAACUGAUUUAGUAAAACAAUAAAAUAUCUAAAUAUAAGGAAUUAAAAGGUGGUGGGCAAAUUUGAUUAUUCUAAAAAAAUGACUAAAGUAAAAUAUAUUUUUUACUUUAGGUUUUAAAUUAUGAAAUAUAAAAAUAUUUCUGAACACUACAAAAAAGGAGACAAAUAGUCUAAGAGAUCCUUGUCAACUAUGGCCAAACCAACAAUUUUUGUUGGAGAUCCCACAUCCACUAGAGAUUAGAGCCUUUCAUUGUAUAUAAGUGAGUGCAAACCUCAACCCUAUGAGUCGGUUUUAUGGAGUUGAGUUAGACUUAAAGUCCACUUCGUAAUAAUUUUAUCUCUGAUCAUUAGUGACUCAAAAUUAUGUCACUACAAGAGGAUUAGACAUUAGAGUCAGUCAAAAAUAGAU